rnacentral:rRNA from 1 species
UACGUAGGGGGCAAGCGUUGUCCGGAAUUAUUGGGCGUAAAGAGCUCGUAGGCGGUUCAGUAAGUCGGGUGUGAAACCCCCAGGCUCAACCUGGGGACGCCACCCGAUACUGCUGUGACUAGAGUCCAGUAGGGGAGUGUGGAAUUCCCGGUGUAGCGGUGAAAUGCGCAGAUAUCGGGAGGAACACCAGCGGCGAAGGCGGCACUCUGGGCUGGAACUGACGCUGAGGCGCGAAAGCGUGGGGAGCAAACAGG